rnacentral:rRNA from 1 species
UCCGGUUGAUCCUGCCGGACCCGACUGCUAUCGGAUUGGGAUUUAGCCAUGUUAGUUUUGCGUUCCUAGGCUACAGGGGACGCAGCGUACGGCUCAGUAACACGUAGUCAACCUGCCCUGGAGACGCGGACAAACCCGGGAAACUGGGGCCUAUCCGCGAUAGAUGACCUCAUCUGGAAGGAGAGGUCGUCCAAAAGGGCGCACGGGUAUGCUCUGUGCGAACCGCUCCAGGAUGGGACCGCGGCCGAUCUGGCUGUUGGCGGGGUAAUGGCCCACCAAACCUGUAACCGGUACGGGCUUUGAGAGAAGGAGCCCGGAGAUGGACACUGAGACAAGGGUCCAGGCCCUACGGGGCGCAUCAGGCGCGAAACCUUCGCAAUGCGCGAAAGCGUGACGAGGCUAGUCCGAGUGCCGCCUGCUAAAGGUGGCUUUUCUCGGCUGUAAAUAGGCCGGGGAAUAAGGGGAGGGCAAGUCUGGUGUCAGCCGCCGCGGUAAUACCAGCUCCUCGAGUGGUCGGGACGAUUAUUGGGCCUAAAGCACCCGUAGCCGGUUCCGUAAGUCCUCUGUUAAAUCCAGUCGCUCAACGACUGGCCUGCAGAGGAUACUGCGAGACUAGGAGGCGGGAGAGGCGGACGGUACUCCGCGUGUAGGGGUAAAAUCCUUUGAUCCGCGGAAGACCACCAGUGGCGAAGGCGGUCCGCCAGAACGCGCUCGACGGUGAGGGGUGAAAGCUGGGGGAGCGAACCGGAUUAGAUACCCGGGUAGUCCCAGCCGUAAACGAUGCGAGCUAGAUGAUUCGAUCGCAUAACGCGAUCGAAGUGUCGCAGGGAAGCCGUUAAGCUCGCCGCCUGGGGAGUACGGUCGCAAGGCUGAAUUGCGAUCAGAUGUUCCUGUUCGCACAGUUCACUUAAAGGAAUUGGCGGGGGAGCAC